rnacentral:rRNA from 1 species
UACAGAGGGGGCAAGCGUUGUUCGGAAUUACUGGGCGUAAAGGGCGCGUAGGCGGCCUGCUAAGUCGAACGUGAAAUCCCUGGGCUCAACCCAGGAACUGCGUCCGAUACUGGUUGGCUUGAAUCCGGGAGAGGGACGUGGAAUUCCAGGUGUAGCGGUGAAAUGCGUAGAUAUCUGGAGGAACACCGGUGGCGAAGGCGGCAUUCUGGACCGACAUUGACGCUGAGGAGCGAAAGCCAGGGGAGCAAAGCGGG